UGGGGAAUUUUGGAACAAUGGGCGCAAGCCUGAUCCAGCCAUGCCGCGUGCGGGAAGAAGGCCUUCGGGUUGUAAACCGCUUUUGUCAGGGAUGAAAUCUUCUGAGUUAAUACCUCGGGAGGAUGACGGUACCUGAAGAAUAAGCACCGGCUAACUACGUGCCAGCAGCCGCGGUAAUACGUAGGGUGCAAGCGUUAAUCGGAAUUACUGGGCGUAAAGCGUGCGCAGGCGGUUUUGUAAGACAGAGGUGAAAUCCCCGGGCUCAACCUGGGAACUGCCUUUGUGACUGCAAGGCUUGAGUGCGGCAGAGGGGGAUGGAAUUCCGCGUGUAGCAGUGAAAUGCGUAGAUAUGCGGAGGAACACCGAUGGCGAAGGCAAUCCCCUGGGCCUGCACUGACGCUCAUGCACGAAAGCGUGGGGAGCAAACAGGAUUAGAUAGCCCUGGUAGUCCACGCCCUAAAACGAUGUCAACUGGCUUGUUGGGAAGGUUCCUUCUCAGUAACGUAGCUAACGCGUGAAGUUGACCGCCUGGGGAGUACGGCCGCAAGGUUGAAACUUAAAUGAAUUGACGGGGU
rnacentral:rRNA from 1 species